rnacentral:rRNA from 1 species
UACGUAGGGACCAAGCGUUGUUCGGAUUUACUGGGCGUAAAGGGCGCGUAGGCGGCGCGGUAAGUCACUUGUGAAAUCUCUGAGCUUAACUCAGAACGGCCAAGUGAUACUGCAGUGCUAGAGUGUGGAAGGGGCAAUCGGAAUUCUUGGUGUAGCGGUGAAAUGCGUAGAUAUCAAGAGGAACACCUGAGGUGAAGACGGGUUGCUGGGCCAACACUGACACUGAUGCGCGAAAGCCAGGGGAGCAAACAGG